UCUCUGAUAGAAUAUCGGUUAGUACACGCGCCUGUCAUUAUGUUGUGGACGAUGUCUACGCGCGAAAGCUGGGUUCGACUCCCAGUCAGAGAG